rnacentral:rRNA from 1 species
UGCGUAGGAUGUACCACCCUGAACGCACCUGGGAAGCUAAGCAGGGUUGGGCCUGGUUAGUACUUGGAAGGGAGAUACUGUUUUAUCUCCUAUUGAAAAUGGAGCUUUUAUGUGG